CUGAACAUCAUACGCUGAAGUGUCCCUUCCUAAACCGCAAAAGGCAUGGAAAGUACACCGUGGUUUACCACCGGGUUUGCUCAGAAAUGAGCAGGCCUCCCGAUUUGGAAAGGCAAAAAAUGCUACAAGAU
rnacentral:ncRNA from 1 species